GGUUGUGUAGUGUAGCGGUUAGCAGUAGGUUCUUGUUCGCGUCCGGACUGUGUCUUCGACAAUACUAACGGGAGUUGCAGCACGGGAUUCUGAUACUCUGAAAUUUCCCGUGACCCCGGUUCGAAUCCGGGCACGACCU